GAUGAACGCUGGCGGCGUGCCUAAUACAUGCAAGUCGAGCGAACGGACGAGAAGCUUGCUUCUCUGAUGUUAGCGGCGGACGGGUGAGUAACACGUGGAUAACCUACCUAUAAGACUGGGAUAACUUCGGGAAACCGGAGCUAAUACCGGAUAAUAUUUUGAACCGCAUGGUUCAAAAUUGAAAGACGGUCUUGCUGUCACUUAUAGAUGGAUCCGCGCUGCAUUAGCUAGUUGGUAAGGUAACGGCUUACCAAGGCAACGAUGCAUAGCCGACCUGAGAGGGUGAUCGGCCACACUGGAACUGAGACACGGUCCAGACUCCUACGGGAGGCAGCAGUAGGGAAUCUUCCGCAAUGGGCGAAAGCCUGACGGAGCAACGCCGCGUGAGUGAUGAAGGUCUUCGGAUCGUAAAGCUCUGUUAUUAGGGAAGAACAUAUGUGUAAGUAACUGUGCACAUCUUGACGGUACCUAAUCAGAAAGCCACGGCUAACUACGUG
rnacentral:rRNA from 1 species